rnacentral:rRNA from 1 species
AGGACAUCAGUUGAACUUAAGCUUAUCAAUAAGCGGAGGAAAGAAUUUAAUCAGCGCUGCCUCAAUAAAAGCGUGAACAAACGGCCCGCGCAAGCUACAUGUGGAGUGGAGCUUUGUCCCUGACCCUGAUGGUAUGAGUUUAACUUGUUUUGGAUGCAGGCCGCAGAGGGUGCAAGCCACGUGAAGCUCACUCUGCAGACAAGGGAGAACGAAAAAGUAGUUCGGGACUUUUUCUAAAGUGGAAGUUUGGCUUCUUCUAAGGCUAACCACGACUUGAGAACGAUUGCGAGCAAGUACUGCGAAGGGAAGAUGCAAAGCACUUUAAAAGGAGUGAGGAGUAAUUAGUGGGACGUCAGCUUGAUUGAGCGGAA